rnacentral:rRNA from 1 species
UAGGCAGCAGUGGGGGAAUAUUGCACAAUGGGCGCAAGCCUGAUGCAGCCAUGCCGCGUGUGUGAAGAAGGACCUUCGGGUUGUAAAGCACUUUCAGUCGUGAGGAAGGUAGUGUAGUUAAUAGCUGCAUUAUUUGACGUUAGCGACAGAAGAAGCACCGGCUAACUCCGUGCCAGCAGCCGCGGUAAUACGGAGGGUGCGAGCGUUAAUCGGAAUUACUGGGCGUAAAGCGCAUGCAGGUGGUUUGUUAAGUCAGAUGUGAAAGCCCGGGGCUCAACCUCGGAAUAGCAUUUGAAACUGGCAGACUAGAGUACUGUAGAGGGGGGUAGGAAUUUCAGGUGUAGCGGUGAAAUGCGUAGAGAUCUGAAGGAAUACCGGUGGCGAAGGCGGCCCCCUGGACAGAUACUGACACUCAGAUGCGAAAGCGUGGGGAGCAAACAGGAUUAGAUACCCUGGUAG